UGAGUGUCAAUGCUGUUUUUGAAUAGCUGGAGGGUUAGUGUCGUACCUUACUAUGUGACUACUCACUCUCCAGCAAUUAAAAAACAGCAUUGACACUCAAGAAAAGCUCAGAUUGAACCUCCAGUCAUUGAGUGUGAGCUUUCAAAAUACAGGCGUAAGGUUUGCAUGAGGCCGAAAGAAGUUAGAACGGGACGAUGUCGUUUCGGUCAUAGGACGACGUCGGAAUAUAGAAAGAUUUCGUUUCGGUCAUAGUCAGUGUUUCUAGUCACUCUAUGGAUGAGACCAGGGCCGAUUCACA